UACGGAGGGGGCUAGCGUUGUUCGGAAUUACUGGGCGUAAAGCGCGCGUAGGCGGCUUUGUAAGUUAGAGGUGAAAGCCCAGGGCUCAACCCUGGAAUUGCCUUUAAGACUGCAUCGCUUGAACAUCGGAGAGGUAAGUGGAAUUCCGAGUGUAGAGGUGAAAUGCGUAGAUAUCAGGAGGAACACCGAUGGCGAAGGCAG
rnacentral:rRNA from 1 species